rnacentral:rRNA from 1 species
AUUGAACGCUGGCGGCAGGCCUAACACAUGCAAGUCGAGCGAGCGGCGGAUGGGUGAGUACUAUGAGGGAACCUGCUAGAUGGAGGGGGAUAACUGCUGGAAACGGUAGCUAAUACUGCAUACCAUCAGAUGUGCCCAGAUUGGAUUAGCUAGUGGGUGGGGUAACGGCUCACCUGGGCGACGAUCCCUAGCUGGUCUGAGAGGAUGACCAGCCACACUGGAACUGAGACACGGUCCAGACUCCUACGGGAGGCAGCAGUGGGGAAUAUUGCACAAUGGGCGAAAGCCUGAUCCAGCCAUGCCGCGUGUGUGAAGAAGGCCUUCGGGUUGUAAAGCACUUUCAGCGGGGAGGCGUUACCCGCAGAAGAAGCACCGGCUAACUCCGUGCCAGCAGCCGCGGUAAUUC